UACAGAGGUCUCAAGCGUUGUUCGGAUUCAUUGGGCGUAAAGGGUGCGUAGGUGGCGCCAUAAGUCGGGUGUGAAAUCUCGGGGCUUAACUCCGAAACUGCAUUCGAUACUACCGUGCUUGAGGACUGGAGAGGAGACUGGAAUUUACGGUGUAGCGGUGAAAUGCGUAGAUAUCGUAAGGAAGACCAGUGGCGAAGGCGGGUCUCUGGACAGUUCCUGACGCUGAGGCACGAAGGCCAGGGGAACAAACGGG
rnacentral:rRNA from 1 species